rnacentral:lncRNA from 1 species
GGGCCUCAAAGGUGAGAGCGGGAAACUGGGGUUUUCUUAUUCCUGCCACAUUUACAGGAAUGUGGACUGAAAAAACAAAGGAGAAAGUCUUUAGGAAAGAUUAUGUAACUAGUUAGAAGAGGGUGUUCUGUUAUUAUUUAAUAGUAUAGCUGGUUUUGAUCAAAUACAUUCAUGAAAACCCAACUCUAAGGUAACAACAAUAUCUGUCUCCAGGAUCAUUUUUUGUCUGUGUUCAGACCUUAGGGGUGUUGCAGGAAGUCAAGGACCCUGAAUGGAGGGACCAGCUGGAGCCACAGCAGAGGAAUAUAAAUUGUGAAGAUUUCAUUUUGAUAUGGACAUUUAUCAGUUCCCCAAAUUAAUACUUUUAUAAUUUCUUAUGCCUGUCUUUACUUCAAUCUCUGAACAUAAAUUGUGAAUAUUUCAUUUUAAUAUGGACAUUUAUCAGUUCCCAAAAUUAAUACUUUUAUAAUUUCUUAUGCAUCUCUUACCUUAAUCUCUUAAUCCUGUUAUCUUUGUAAGCUGAGGAUGUAUGUCCCUCAGGACCACUACUGUGUUAACUGUACAAAUUGAUUAUAAAACAUGUGUGUUUGAACAAUAUGAAAUCAGUGCACCUUGAAAUAGAACAGAGUAACAGCGAUUUUCAGGGAACAAGAGAAGACAACCAUAAGGUCUGACUGCUUGUGGGAUCGGGCAGAAUACAGCCAUAUUUUUCUUCUUGCAGAGAGCCUAUAAAUGGAUGUGCAAGUAGGGAAGAUAUUGCUGAAGUCUUUUCCUAGCAAGGAAUAUUAAUAAUUAAGACCCUGGGAAAGGAAUGCGUUCCUAGGGGGAGGUCUAUAAACAGUCGCACUGGGAGAGUCUGCCUUAUGCGGUUGAGAUAAGGACUGAAAUACACCCUGGCCUCCUGCAGUACCCUCAGGCUUACUAGGAUUGGGAAACCCCGCCCUGGUAAAUUUGAGGUCAGACCAGUUCUCUGCUCUAGAACCCUGUUUUCUGUUGUUUAAGAUGUUUAUCAAGACAAUACAUGCACCGCUGAACAUAGACCCUUUUCAGUCAUUCUGCUUUUGCUCUUUGUCUUGUGAUGUUUGUUUUUGCCCUUUGCCUUGUGAUCUUUGUUCUCCUUUUUGCCCUUUGAAGCAUGUGAUCUUUGUACCUACUCCCUGUUCUUACACCCCCUCCCCUUUUGAAACCCUUAAUAAAAACUUGCUGGCUUUAAGGCUCAGGUGGGCAUCACAGUCCUACCGAUAUGUGAUGUCACCCCCAGCGGCCCAGCUGUAAAAUUCCUCUCUUUGUACUCUUUUUAUUUCUCAGCUGGCCAACACUUAUGGAAAAUAGAACCUAUGCUGAAAUAUUGGGGGCUGGUUCCUCUGAUACAGGGGUUUGUUAGCAUUAUAGCAUUUAAGUUCUUUAUGAACUUCUACUGAAUUAACAUAUAUUUGGAAAUGAGCUGUUAACAUGAACAAAAACCAGCAGAAACGAUAAAAUAAUCCAGUGUGAUUUUUAAAAGGGAAAUGCUAGCAAGUUUUAGUAAUUUAGCACUAAGUAAUUUUUGUAGAGUAAAUAACCAUGGAUCACAAUUAAUGUGCUUAAAUUGUAGCACUGUAAACCAUACUUCUACUAUAUUUUUUUUCAUGUAUAGAGACUAGGUAUAAUUAAUUAAUGUACCCAACUUUUCAUUAUGAAAAAUUAUAAACAGAAAAAAAUUAGAAAGAAUCUGGGUACCUUAAAUUUUUGCUGGUAUAAUCCUUCAUGUUUAUAUGUUAGUUGGGUAUUGAUUUUCCUUGCACACCAUUUAGACAACCCCCUUCCACCCACACUCCCCAAGCCAAAAACAAACAAAAACAAAAACAAAAAAACCUCUCCUAGCUGUUUAUUUUUAAUGUUACUGAAGCAGUAGAAAAGUCUUGAUUUCAGAGGACUCCCUUUUCUUCCAUUUUUUCCUGAUGAGUUUGCAAAUCUGAUCCUGAUUGGUUUGGGGAUAAAGAAUGAAAGCAUCACUCUCAUUGUGUAAACAGAAGGCAGUCAGUGGAAUAGAAUCAAAGGGAAGAAAGCUGUUCCUCAGGAUUUUUUAUAUAUUAAAAAUAUUUAGAGCUCCAUGUUCUUAAUUCCUAAGUCAUUAUUAAGAUUGCUUUUUAGUUGUUAAAUUAGCUGUUACAUCAUUUUUUAAAACUACACAAGCAACACAAGACUACGUGUUCUAAUUUUUAAAGAAAAUCAAACAGUAUGGAAGUCUCUGGCAAGAAAGUGAUGGUCCUCCCUUCCCUACCCCUCUUCCCAGCCCAUUUGUGUCCACAGAGGGCACAUAUUAAUAUUUUACAUCUUGUACUAUACAUUCUCAUAUUCAUAUCUCUAUGUUUUAAUGAAAAAAUUUCAAACAAUUAGAAAGAAUUUGUGUAAUGUGAAUUUUUCUUGACAUUACUCCUCAUGUUAAUAUAUUGGCUGGGUAUUAGUUUUACUUAUACCCUAUUUAAACACCCCCCUCCAAAACUCAAUCUCUCUAUCUUCCUACUAAUGUUUAUUAUCUAUCAUCUAUUAUCUAUUUAUCUAUCCACCUAUCUAUCCAGACAUUACCUAUCAUCUACCUGUCUAUUUAUCUAUCUGUAUCUAUCUAUCAUCUAUCAUCUAUUAUUUAUCAUUUAUCUACUAUCACUUAUCUAUCUAUGAUUAUCAUCUAUUAUAUCUAUCUAUCAUCCAUCUACCUAUUAUCUAUCAUCUACCUAUUAUCUAUCAUCUGUGUGUCAUCUGUCUUCCUAUCCAGCUGCAGAGAGAAAACACCUUUGGUUUUAGUUUUUUAUAAAUACUAUAACAUGUUGUUCAGUGACAUUUCACUUUGUAGUCAGUCUUGAAAACCUGCCUAUGCCAUUCCAUCUAGACAGACCUGACGCAUCCUCACUCUGUAGAGUAAGCCACACUGUUAAUCCCCUGCUGCUGUAUGUCCCAGCAAUUUCCACUUUCCCACAUCAGCAGUUCCUGCCUUUAGAUCACUUCUGAGUCUUAGCACCUUAUGUGAAAAUGCUUCUCUCUUCACAACCACAUUAAAAAAAACAAUGCAUACUCUUAUCUAGCUCUGGAGGGUUUUUUUUAUGUUAACCUUUUGUAUCUACUUUGAAUUUUUUGCUUACAAUAUGAGAUGAGGAUUUAUUCUUAUUUUUUUCCCUGUGGAUAUUCAAUUUUCUCAAUGUCAUUCUUUCCCCCGUGGUUUUAAAUAUUGCUUUUAUUUAGGGUGCAUUGAAUUUUGUACAGUACCUGCCAAGUUUUUCUACAUCAUCCACUGUCUCUGGCAAGGCAAUACCCUUGGUUUCAGGCAAAAGCAUCACAAGGCCACCACAGAUGGAUGCCAGGAUACCUAUGGAAUAGGGGAAAGGUGUUACCGCUCCAGGAAGACACAGCUGGGCCCUCUCCCAUGGGGCCUGCUCACUCUGAAGCCAUCAUGUUGCUCACUGGAGUAGCUCUCAACCACAGCAACCUCUGCAUCCCAGAUCAAUGCCCCAGCUCUCCCUUACCACAGCUUCAAAGGUUCUCUCCCUUCCUCAAACCCUGAGUAGCACCACGGCCCCUGUAUACCUGGCAGCCAUGUGUUCACUCACACAUCUCACAGUGAUUGACUGAGUUCCUUCUUAGGGUCCAACACCCAAGGCCUCCUCUCCUGCAUCACAGGGAAACAGAAGUGCUGGAGGGGAGUCCCCUCUGCGCCCGCUCACUGACACUCUCACUUACCUGCCCCUCUCCCUCCGAUUCCUCCUGUUACCUUACAGUGGAAAGCUUGUCCUGGUGUCUACUCCGGGACCAGCCUUCUCCUAGGCCUGUCUCUUUGGGCUCCUCACUGUAGGGAUCAACCCUUCCUCCAGUAUCUUCAACCUAUUGGGAGAAGCUUUCAAACACAUUCAGACCUUUCCUGUUUGACCAGCCUUCUCUCAAUCUCACCUCAUCCUUCCAUUACCAUCCUUUCUUUUUCUGCUCUUUAGAGCCAAACUUCUUGAAAAGCCACCCUCCCCUAUUUUCUCCACUUCUUUGUAGCCUAGUGGUGUGCUGGUAAAUGCCUAACAACCCUCUUUGGGCAAUCAAGCCCUGAUUGGCAGCAUCUGCCAAUGUGCAUGGUUUAAAUGCUCCCACUGUGGGCCCUUCAGGCUACUGACACAACAUCCCUGCCUGGGCCACUGGGAAGUGAUGCAGGAGCCCCAUCAAUGGGGCUUCCACCAUAAAGAUGCAGCAGACACAAUCUCAGGAGCACAGGUAAUACUGAAGGUGUAGUAGCUGAAUUAGGGACUGAUGAGUGUUGGGCAUUUAUUGCCUCUAUUUCUCAUAUAUUUCAUAUUCUUUACUUUUUGAUGAUAUCUGUGCUUGAUGACUGGCUUACAAAAUUCUUGAAAAUGUAGCUGAUAUGGUUUGGCUCUGUCUAUCCACCCAAAUCUCAUCUCGAAUUGUAAUCCCCACAUGUUGAGGGAGGGACCUGGUGGGAGGUGACUGGAUUGUUGGGGAGGUUUCCCCAUGCUGUUCUCGUGAUAGUGAGUGAGUUCCCAUGAGAUCUGAUGGAUUUAUAAGUGGUAAUUUUCCUUGCUCUUCUCUUACCUGCCACCAUGUAGGACGUGCCUGCUUCCCCUUCCACCAUGAUUGUAAGUUUCCUGAGGCUUCCCCAGUCAUGUGAAACUGUGAGUCAAUUAAACCUCUUUUCUUUAUAAAUUACCCAGUCUUGGGCAGUUAUUUAUAGCAGUGGCAAACGAACUAAUAUGGUAGCAGUUGGCCCUGGUGAGUGGGAGGUGCCAGCACCAGCAUAGGACCAUGCUCCAGGUCCUGCCUCUGCCUGCCCUCCUCCAGACUCAGCCUAUAUUCUCCCUGGCUCUGCUCCAGUCAGGUUCCUUCUGCCUCUUGCUGGCCACCAGAUCCACAUGUGCUACUUUCAGUCCUUAGGUUGGACCUGGUCUCGUGCCCUCCUGCCUCGGGCUUCUCACUUGGUUUCCACUUCCUUGGCCACCUCCUCUCCUUCUGCCUAGGUCUGUCACUUUGCCACCCCUCAGGUCUCUGUCCUAGGCCUCCUGCUUUCCUCUUGCUUUGUCCUGAUUUUCUGGGGGGCUUGGGCCACUCCCUCAGCUUCAACCAUUCUCUACUGCCAGGUGGCUUCCAGCUCUUCAUCCCAAGGCCACUCUUCCCUCCUGAGCUCAGCGGUGUUGAGCCUGCUGGUUUCUAUUUCCACUUGAACUCUUCCAGGUGCCUCAAAUUAUGCACAGCGGACACAGAGCCCCAUCACCCUGCAGACCCUCAGCCUUGCUGCUACAGUGCCUGUGCCACCUGCUUCUCCCCAGGCACCUGGGCUUCUCAGGUCACCAUGCUUUCUCCCUGUGCCCAUCAGUGAUCCCAUCUUGCCCAGCUGGCUUCUAAGAUGUUUACUCAAUCUGUCCACCCUCUCCAUUCCCAUUGCCAUCCCUUUAUUAGAAGAAGCCACUGUGAUCUCCUGAUGAUGACAUCCUUGAAUUGUCACCCCCAACAUCGUCCCUCCAACCCACUUGCAUAUCUACCAUCAGAGGGACGAUGCUGGGGGGUCCUUCCAACCCACUUGCAUAUCUGUGUUUCUACAAUGCAAGGCCAGCUCUGUCCACCUCAGGGUGAAACUGUCCAGUCACUUUCCACUGCUGUGUGUAUAAAGAGCAAAGCCUUGGCAUGUCCUUGAGGCCCUUCCGGAUCCAGUCCCUGCCCUGCCCUGGCACCACCUCUCUUCAGGCCCAGCUCACAACUGCACUCCAUCCUCUAGCACCAGGUGCUUGAGGAUGCGGCAUCCUCUUGCUUUGAACUUUCCACUGCCUGGAGCACAGCCAGCCCCUCUUGGCCUAGACAUUGCUUCCUUCCUCCCUGGCCUGCUCCCUUCCACUCAGGGGUCAAGGGUCCCUGUGACCUAUUCUCAUAGGAGCCUCUGCUUUCAGGGUCUCAGCAGUUAUCACAUUCUGUUGUCGCUGAGUUUUUAGAAAUUCGGCUGUCUCCCCUCGCAGUCUCAGGCCCCGCCUGCCUGCCACUGGGCUGUGGGCUGCAGUCCUGAAGGUCAUGUGUCUUGUCUCCUGGACUACUCUGUCUUUGCUGGACAGUAGCACUUUCUGCUUUUUCAUGCUGACCACAGAAUUAACACUCAGCUUGAUGACCAAAUCCCAUACAAUAAUUUGAGGUGAUCCUGUAUUGAGGUCACUGGUGUCAAGUGGUAGAAGCCGACUCUUUGUCCCUCACACUGUCAAAGGACUUUUGCAUGAAGCAGAAGGUCUGUCCUCAUGGGCUCAGUAUUUUCAUUCAAAUUUCAACUGCUGAACCAUAAAUGAAAAACAUUCUCUACCAGAAGUAAGGAAGUGGAGAUAGAGAAACGGUUGCGUGAGAAAGGGGCCAACCCGUAUCCUUUACUGCAGAAGAGGGCACAGGGGAAGUGUGUGAAACCCAGGCAGGACCGUUGGAGCAGCCCUGGAGAAGUGGGACACUGAAUUCCCCAAGGUCCCUCCUAGACUAUGAUUCUGUUCCUUCACAAGUCCUAUGGAAGCUGGAGGUAGGAGGAGAGGUGCACUCGAGGGACCUGGAGGAGGUGAUGGAAUGUGUGCCCGGGAUCCUGUGUCACCUGCUCCCUCCACAUGGAUUUUUAGCAUCGGGCCAAUGAAGAUAUGCAAAGAUGAUCAGAGGUAGUUCUAGCCACACGGCUGCUAGCCGAAAGAGCAGAAAUGGGGCUAUGAUUCCCCCAAAAUCACACAGACCUGAACAGAGCGAAACUCCGAAAUUUCUGUUGAAUGAAAAGUAAUUUUAAGUGAAAACUAUUUCAACAAGUGACUUCAAGAUAAUCAACAUAUUCAGACAUAUUAAAAAACCAAAGGAAGUGUGAAGAUACUUUGCAUUUUCUAACUUUGAAAACGACUACUCUCAGA